rnacentral:rRNA from 1 species
CCUAGUAACUGCGAGUGAAGCGGGAAGAGCUCAAAUUUAAAAUCUGACAGCCUUUGGUUGUCCGAGUUGUAAUCUAGAGAAGUGUUAUCCGCGCUGGACCGUGUACAAGUCUCCUGGAAUGGAACAUCAUAGAGGGUGAGAAUCCCGUCUUUGACACGGACUUCCAGGGCUUUUGUGAUACGCUCUCAAAGAGUCGAGUUGUUUGGGAAUGCAGCUCUAAAUGGGUGGUAAAUUCCAUCUAAAGCUAAAUAUUGGCGAGAGACCGAUAGCGAACAAGUACCGUGAGGGAAAGAUGAAAAGAACUUUGGAAAGAGAGUUAAACAGUACGUGAAAUUGUUGAAAGGGAAACGCUUGAAGUCAGUCGCAUUGACUAGGGAUCAACCUUGCUUUYUUGCUUGGUGUACUUCCUAGUUGAUGGGCCAGCAUCAAUUUUGACCAGUGGAUAAAGGUCAAAGGAAUGUGGCAUCUCUGGAUGUGUUAUAGCCUUUGAUUGUAUACAUUGGUUGGGAUUGAGGAACUCAGCACGCCGCAAGGCCGGGUUUCGACCACGAUCGUGCUUAGGAUGCUGGCAUAAUGGCUUUAAUCGACCCGUCUUGAAACACGGACCAAGGAGUCUAACAUGCCUGYGAGUAUUUGGGUGGCAAACCCAUGUGCGUAAUGAAAGUGAAGAUCAGGAUCUCUGUCAUGGAGAGCACUGAUGCCCGGACCAGACCUUUUGUGACGGAUCUGCGGUAGAGCAUGCAUGUUGGGACCCGAAAGAUGGUGAACUAUGCCUGAAUAGGGUGAAGCCAGAGGAAACUCUGGUGGAGGCUCGUAGCGAUUCUGACGUGCAAAUCGAUCGUCAAAUUUGGGUAUAGGGG